ensembl:miRNA Mir878 microRNA 878
UGCAGUGCUUUAUCUAGUUGGCUGUCAGUCACGUGAAACUCAAGUGCAUGACACCAUACUGGGUAGAGGAGGGCUCA